GAGGAAAAGAAACUAACAAGGAUUUCCCUAGUAACUGCGAGUGAAGCGGAAAAAGCUCAAAUUUAAAAUCUGAUAGUCUUUUGGCUGUCCGAGUUGUAAUCUAAAGAAGUGUUAUCCGUGCUGGACCAUGUACAAGUCUCCUGGAAUGGAGCGUCAUAGAGGGUGAGAAUCCCGUCUUUGACAUGGACUACCAGUGCAUUUGUGAUGCACUUUCAAAGAGUCGAGUUGUUUGGGAAUGCAGCUCUAAAUGGGUGGUAAAUUCCAUCUAAAGCUAAAUAUUGGCAAGAGACCGAUAGCGAACAAGUACCGUGAGGGAAAGAUGAAAAGAACUUUGGAAAGAGAGUUAAACAGUACGUGAAAUUGUUGAAAGGGAAACGCUUGAAGUCAGUCAUGUUGACUCAGGGAUCAACCUUGCUCUUUUGCUUGGUGCAUUUUCUGGUUGACAGGUCAGCAUCAAUUUUGACCAAUGGAUAAAGAUUGAGGGAAUGUGACAUCUAUGGAUGUGUUAUAGCCUUUGGUUGUAUACAUUGGUUGAGAUUGAGGAAUUCAGCAUGCCGCUUGCGGUCAGGUUUUUUCAAACCAUGUUUCAUGCUUAGGAUGGCUGGCAUAAUGGCUUUAAUCGACCCGUCUUG
rnacentral:rRNA from 1 species